AACGAACGCUGGCGGCAUGCCUAACACAUGCAAGUCGAACGAGACCUUCGGGUCUAGUGGCGCACGGGUGCGUAACGCGUGGGAACCUGCACUUAGGUUCGGAAUAACUCCCCGAAAGGGGUGCUAAUACCGGAUAAUGUCUUCGGACCAAAGAUUUAUCGCCUUUGGAUGGGCCCGCGUUGGAUUAGCUAGUUGGUAGGGUAAAAGCCUACCAAGGCGACGAUCCAUAGCUGGUCUGAGAGGAUGAUCAGCCACACUGGGAGUGAGACACGGCCCAGACUCCUACGGGAGGCAGCAGUGGGGAAUAUUGGACAAUGGGCGAAAGCCUGAGCCAGCAAUGCCGCGUGAGUGAUGAAGGCCUUAGGGUUGUAAAGCUCUUUUACCCGGGAUGAUAAUGACAGUACCGGGAGAAUAAGCUCCGGCUAACUCCGU
rnacentral:rRNA from 1 species